AUACGUAGGGGGCAAGCGUUAUCCGGAUUUACUGGGUGUAAAGGGAGCGUAGACGGCACUGCAAGUCUGGAGUGAAAGCCCGGGGCUCAACCCCGGGACUGCUUUGGAAACUGUGGUGCUAGAGUGCAGGAGAGGUAAGUGGAAUUCCUAGUGUAGCGGUGAAAUGCGUAGAUAUUAGGAGGAACACCAGUGGCGAAGGCGGCUUACUGGACUUAAACUGACGUUGAGGCUCGAAAGCGUGGGGAGCAAACAGGAUUAGAUCCCCUGGUAGUCCACGCCGUAAACGAUGAAUACUAGGUGUUGGGGAGCAAAGCUCCUCGGUGCCGCCGCUAACGCAAUAAGUAUUCCACCUGGGGAGUACGUUCGCAAGAAUGAAACUCAAAGGAAUUGACGGGG
rnacentral:rRNA from 1 species